CGAUGAUCCCAGCUUGCUGGGGGAUUAGUGGCGAACGGGAGAGGAACACGUGAGUAACCUGCCCUUAACUCUGGGAUAAGCCUGGGAAACUGGGUCUAAUACCGGAUAUGACUCCUCAUCGCAUGGUGGGGGGUGGAAAGCUUUAUUGUGGUUUUGGAUGGACUCGCGGCCUAUCAGCUUGUUGGUGAGGUAAUGGCUCACCAAGGCGACGACGGGUAGCCGGCCUGAGAGGGUGACCGGCCACACUGGGACUGAGACACGGCCCAGACUCCUACGGGAGGCAGCAGUGGGGAAUAUUGCACAAUGGGCGAAAGCCUGAUGCAGCGACGCCGCGUGAGGGAUGACGGCCUUCGGGUUGUAAACCUCUUUCAGUAGGGAAGAAGCGAAAGUGACGGUACCUGCAGAAGAAGCGCCGGCUAACUACGUGCCAGCAGCCGCGGUAAUACGUAGGGCGCAAGCGUUAUCCGGAAUUAUUGGGCGUAAAGAGCUCGUAGGCGGUUUGUCGCGUCUGCCGUGAAAGUCCGGGGCUCAACUCCGGAUCUGCGGUGGGUACGGGCAGACUAGAGUGAUGUAGGGGAGACUGGAAUUCCUGGUGUAGCGGUGAAAUGCGCAGAUAUCAGGAGGAACACCGAUGGCGAAGGCAGGUCUCUGGGCAUUAACUGACGCUGAGGAGCGAAAGCAUGGGGAGCGAACAGGAUUAGAUACCCUGGUAGUCCAUGCCGUAAACGUUGGGCACUAGGUGUGGGGGACAUUCCACGUUUUCCGCGCCGUAGCUAACGCAUUAAGUGCCCCGCCUGGGGAGUACGGCCGCAAGGCUAAAACUCAAAGGAAUUGACGGGGGCCC
rnacentral:rRNA from 1 species